UCAGGAUGAACGCUGGCGGCGUGCCUAACACAUGCAAGUCGAACGAAGCACUGGAAACGGAGAUUCGUCAAAGUUCCUUUGACUUAGUGGCGGACGGGUGAGUAAUGCGUGAGCAACCUGCCUUUCAGAGGGGGACGAACAGUUGGAAACGACUGCUAAUACCGCAUAAUGUAUUUAGGAGGCAUCUCCCGGAUACCAAAGGAGCAAUCCGCUGAAAGAUGGGCUCACGUCUGAUUAGCUAGUUGGUGAGGUAACGGCUCACCAAGGCUGCGAUCAGUAGCCGGACUGAGAGGUUGAACGGCCACAUUGGGACUGAGAUACGGCCCAGACUCCUACGGGAGGCAGCAGUGGGGAAUAUUGGGCAAUGGGCGAAAGCCUUCGACCCAGCAACGCCGCGUGAAGGAAGAAGGUCUUCGGAUUGUAAACUUCUUUUAUGAGGGACGAAGGACGUGACGGUACCUCAUGAAUAAGCCACGGCUAACUACGUGCCAGCAGCUGC
rnacentral:rRNA from 1 species